GAUGAACGCUGGCGGCGUGCCUAAUACAUGCAAGUCGAGCGAACGGACGAGAAGCUUGCUUCUCUGAUGUUAGCGGCGGACGGGUGAGUAACACGUGGAUAACCUACCUAUAAGACUGGGAUAACUUCGGGAAACCGGAGCUAAUACCGGAUAAUAUUUCGAACCGCAUGGUUCAAAAGUGAAAGACGGUCUUGCUGUCACCUAUAGAUGGAUCCGCGCUGCAUUAGCUAGUUGGUAAGGUAACGGCUUACCAAGGCAACGAUGCAUAGCCGACCUGAGAGGGUGAUCGGCCACACUGGAACUGAGACACGGUCCAGACUCCUACGGGAGGCAGCAGUAGGGAAUCUUCCGCAAUGGGCGAAAGCCUGACGGAGCAACGCCGCGUGAGUGAUGAAGGUCUUCGGAUCGUAAAACUCUGUUAUUAGGGAAGAACAUAUGUGUAAGUAACUGUGCACAUCUUGACGGUACCUAAUCAGAAAGCCACGGCUAACUACGUG
rnacentral:rRNA from 1 species